rnacentral:pre_miRNA from 13 species
UUACAUGUACACGUGUAUAUACGUGUGUGUGUGUGUAUAUAUAUACACAUAUAUGUAUAUAUGUGUAUAUAUAUA